GUUGGAUCAGCUUCUGAUUUCAUGUUGGAGUAUUUUACAACAUUCAUGUUUUCUGUCUUUGCAUUUCUUUUGGUAAAGUAUUUACAAAGAACUGUAAAAUGCUUAACACUCAGAUUGCUUAGCAAGAUCAACACCUCUACACUGAAUCACAUGUCAAUAUUGCCAAUAUCAGGAUUUAUUUUGCUUCCAAAAUUUUUUGUUUCUUGGAACACUACCGUGGGAGACUCGAAUUGGCCCCCAAACAUAUCUCUCUUUGGCAUGAGGAUUAUUUUGGGCUGGUUACUUUUAAAAACUGCAGACAGGAGAGAAACUCUGAAAAGUACACUUUAACCCUUUGUAAAGAGACAAUUACAUUUGUAAAGGAAAUCUCUAUCUGUAAAGGUGUCUCCCUCUCUGUACCAGGAAGAAGGGGGAUGACCUUAUCUCUAGAAACUCUUAUCAAUACAGAAGGCAAGAACUUAAAUCUGCAUAAAACCUUAUUCUUGUUUACUGUGCUUUUCUGGUAAUCUUCCAUAGCUGACUCCCCCCUCCCCCAACAUCCUCCUUUGUCUUUAGCUGAGGGUGAUAUUUAAGGUGAGAGUUUCUGCCAUUUUGGCAACUUACUCAGUGUUUCCGGGUCUCUCCUAUGCAUACAUGUUAUAAAGCUUUGUUUGAUUUUCUCCUGUUAUUCUGUCUCAUGUGAAUUUAAUUCAUUGUCUGGCCAGAAGGACCUAGAGCAGGUAGAGGAAAUGUCUUCCUCUCCCACAGUUUGGCUACUUGGAUGGGAUAAAAUUUCACUGGCUGGACACUUCUUGCUCCUGGACUGCUGCAGCCCAGAGAUCCUGGACCCCUGAUGAGAGCCAGCAAGAGCUCGCCAAGCCCUCAUCAUUUCUUCUGGUAGCCUGUAUGGGCAUCUUGCUUCACUGGCUUGUGAGCUGGAGUUCUAGAAGAUUAGCCCUGAACUAACAUCCAUGCCUGUCUUCCUCCACUUUAUAUGUGGGAUGCCUACCACAGCAUGGCUUGCCAAGCUGUGCCAUGUCCAUGCCUGGGAUCCGUACUGGUGAACGCUGGGCAGCCGAAGUGGAAUGUGUGAACUUAACCACUGAGCCACCGGGCCAGCCCAAGAUUCAUGACAGUAAUUUUUAAAACAAUAGCUGUGGAGACUGUGUAUGUGUGUCUCUAUGUGUGUUAUAUAUGUUUGGUAUUUUACCUCUGGAUGGUAUGGCCAAAAUUAAGAGCUCUGUUUAUUUGGCUUAAAGUAAGCACUUACAUAAAUUCUAAUGUAAUAAAAAUUAACCCAGUGUCUUUUAAGUUAAUAUGAUAUAGAUUAAUCUUUGGUUAAUGAAAGUUUAAGUUUGUUGGUUUGAUUGAAAAGGCAUAUCCUCAAGAGUUGUCAGUAUUUGAAUAUGCUG
rnacentral:lncRNA from 1 species